rnacentral:rRNA from 1 species
GAUGAACGCUGGCGGCGUGCCUAAUACAUGCAAGUCGAGCGAACGGACGAGAAGCUUGCUUCUCUGAUGUUAGCGGCGGACGGGUGAGUAACACGUGGAUAACCUACCUAUAAGACUGGGAUAACUUCGGGAAACCGGAGCUAAUACCGGAUGAUAUUUUGAACCGCAUGGUUCAAAAGUGAAAGACGGUCUUGCUGUCACUUAUAGAUGGAUCCGCGCUGCAUUAGCUAGUUGGUAAGGUAACGGCUUACCAAGGCAACGAUGCAUAGCCGACCUGAGAGGGUGAUCGGCCACACUGGAACUGAGACACGGUCCAGACUCCUACGGGAGGCAGCAGUAGGGAAUCGUCCGCAAUGGGCGAAAGCCUGACGGAGCAACGCCGCGGGAGUGAUGAAGGUCUUCGGAUCGUAAAACUCUGUUAUUAGGGGAGAACAUAUGUGUAAGUAACUGUGCACAUCUUGACGGUACCUAAUCAGAAAGCCACGGCUAACUACGUG